rnacentral:rRNA from 1 species
CAGACCUCUAAUCGGAAAAGACUACCCGCUGAGUUUAAGCAUAUCACUAAGCGGAGGAGAAGAAACU